UAGGGAAUCUUCGGCAAUGGGGGCAACCCUGACCGAGCAACGCCGCGUGAGUGAAGAAGGUUUUCGGAUCGUAAAGCUCUGUUGUAAGUCAAGAACGAGUGUGAGAGUGGAAAGUUCACACUGUGACGGUAGCUUACCAGAAAGGGACGGCUAACUACGUGCCAGCAGCCGCGGUAAUACGUAGGUCCCGAGCGUUGUCCGGAUUUAUUGGGCGUAAAGCGAGCGCAGGCGGUUUGAUAAGUCUGAAGUUAAAGGCUGUGGCUUAACCAUAGUACGCUUUGGAAACUGUUUAACUUGAGUGCAAGAGGGGAGAGUGGAAUUCCAUGUGUAGCGGUGAAAUGCGUAGAUAUAUGGAGGAACACCGGUGGCGAAAGCGGCUCUCUGGCUUGUAACUGACGCUGAGGCUCGAAAGCGUGGGGAGCAAACAGGAUUAGAUACCCUGGUAGUCCACGCCGUAACGAUGAGUGCUAGGUGUUAGACCCUUUCCGGGGUUUAGUGCCGCAGCUAACGCAUUAAGCACUCCGCCUGGGGAGUACGACCGCAAGGUU
rnacentral:rRNA from 1 species